AUUGAACGCUGGCGGCAGGCCUAACACAUGCAAGUCGAGCGAGCGGCGGACGGGUGAGUAACACGUGGGAACGUGCCCUUUGGUUCGGAACAACUCAGGGAAACUUGAGCUAAUACCGGAUGCCAUUGGAGCGGCCCGCGUCUGAUUAGCUAGUUGGUGAGGUAAAGGCUCACCAAGGCGACGAUCAGUAGCUGGUCUGAGAGGAUGAUCAGCCACAUUGGGACUGAGACACGGCCCAGACUCCUACGGGAGGCAGCAGUGGGGAAUAUUGCACAAUGGGCGCAAGCCUGAUGCAGCCAUGCCGCGUGUAUGAAGAAGGCCUUAGGGUUGUAAAGUACUUUCAGCGGGGAGGCGUUACCCGCAGAAGAAGCACCGGCUAACUCCGUGCCAGCAGCCGCGGUAAUAC
rnacentral:rRNA from 1 species